AGAGUUUGAUCCUGGCUCAGGAUGAACGCUAGCGGCAGGCCUAAUACAUGCAAGUCGAACGAGAUUAAGAGGCUUGCUUCUUAUGAAAGUGGCGCACGGGUGCGUAACGCGUAUGCAACCUACCUUAAUCAGGCAGAUAGCCCGAAGAAAUUCGGAUUAAGACCGCAUAAAAACACAGGAUAGCAUUAUCCAAUGUUCAAAUAUUUAUAGGAUUAAGAUGGGCAUGCGUGUCAUUAGCUAGUUGGCGGGGUAACGGCCCACCAAGGCGACGAUGACUAGGGGAUCUGAGAGGAUGACCCCCCACACUGGUACUGAGACACGGACCAGACUCCUACGGGAGGCAGCAGUAAGGAAUAUUGGUCAAUGGAGGGAACUCUGAACCAGCCAUGCCGCGUGCAGGAAGACAGCCCUCUGGGUCGUAAACUGCUUUUAUUCGGGAAUAAACCUUUCUACGUGUAGGAAGCUGAAUGUACCGAAGGAAUAAGGAUCGGCUAACUCCGUGCCAGCAGCCGCGGUAAUACGGAGGAUCCAAGCGUUAUCCGGAUUUAUUGGGUUUAAAGGGUGCGUAGGCGGCUUAUUAAGUCAGGGGUGAAAGACGGUGGCUCAACCAUCGCAGUGCCCUUGAUACUGAUGAGCUUGAAUACACUAGAGGUAGGCGGAAUGUGACAAGUAGCGGUGAAAUGCAUAGAUAUGUCACAGAACACCGAUUGCGAAGGCAGCUUACUAUGGUGUUAUUGACGCUGAGGCACGAAAGCGUGGGGAUCAAACAGGAUUAGAUACCCUGGUAGUCCACGCCCUAAACGAUGAAUACUCGCUGUUAGCGAUAUACAGUUAGCGGCUAAGCGAAAGCGUUAAGUAUUCCACCUGGGGAGUACGCCCGCAAGGGUGAAACUCAAAGGAAUUGACGGGGGCCCGCACAAGCGGAGGAGCAUGUGGUUUAAUUCGAUGAUACGCGAGGAACCUUACCCGGGCUUGAAAGUUAGUGAAUGAUCUAGAGAUAGAUCAGUGAGCAAUCACACGAAACUAGGUGCUGCAUGGCUGUCGUCAGCUCGUGCCGUGAGGUGUUGGGUUAAGUCCCGCAACGAGCGCAACCCCUAUGUUUAGUUGCCAGCACGUUAAGGUGGGGACUCUAAACAGACUGCCUGUGCAAACAGAGAGGAAGGAGGGGACGACGUCAAGUCAUCAUGGCCCUUACGUCCGGGGCUACACACGUGCUACAAUGGAUGGUACAGAGGGCAGCAAGCUGGCAACAGCAAGCGAAUCUCAAAAAGCCAUUCACAGUUCGGAUAGAGGUCUGCAACUCGACCUCUUGAAGUUGGAUUCGCUAGUAAUCGCGUAUCAGCAAUGACGCGGUGAAUACGUUCCCGGGCCUUGUACACACCGCCCGUCAAGCCAUGGAAGUUGGGGGUACCUAAAGUAUGUAACCGUAAGGAGCGUCCUAGGGUAAAACCGAUAACUGGGGCUAAGUCGUAACAAGGUAGCCGU
rnacentral:rRNA from 1 species